rnacentral:rRNA from 1 species
UAAGGGAUAUUGCGCAAAUGGACGGAAGUCUGACGCAGCAACGCCGCGUGCGGGAGGACGGCCUUCGGGUCGUAAACCGCUUUUCGAGGUGAAGAGCGAGGACGGUAACCUCGGAAGAGGUCUCGGCUAACUACGUGCCAGCAGCCGCGGUAAAACGUAGGAGGCGAGCGUUAUCCGGAUUUACUGGGUGUAAAGCGCGUGCAGGCGGUCUGUUAAGUGCGGUGUGAAAGCGCCUGGCUCAACCGGGCGAGGACGCCGCAGACUGGCGGGCUGGAGGCAGGGAGAGGUCUGUGGAAUUCCGGGUGUAGUGGUGAAAUGCGUAGAGAUCCGGAGGAACACCAGUGGCGAAGGCGGCAGACUGGCCCUGACCUGACGCUCAGACGCGAAAGCACGGGGAGCGAACGG